UGGAUGCCCCCUCCCUGGAGCCCCAUAACCUGGUCUGGUGGAAGGUGUCCCUGCCCAUGCAGGGGUGUUUGAACCAGAUGAUCCCUUUCCAUCCCUAGCCAUUC